rnacentral:rRNA from 1 species
UACAGGGGGGGCAAGCGUUGUUCGGAAUUACUGGGCGUAAAGGGCUCGUAGGCGGCCAACUAAGUCCGACGUGAAAUCCCAAGGCUUAACCUUGGAACUGCGUCGGAUACUGGAUGGCUUGAAUUCGGGAGAGGGAUGCAGAAUUCCAGGUGUAGCGGUGAAAUGCGUAGAUAUCUGGAGGAAUACCGGUGGCGAAGGCGGCAUCCUGGACCGACAUUGACGCUGAUGAGCGAAAGCUAGGGGAGCAAACGGG